rnacentral:tRNA from 1 species
GGGGAUAUGGCGAAAUUGGUAGACGCUACGGACUUAAAAAAUCCGUCGACUUUUAAAAUCGUGAGGGU